UACAGAGGUCUCAAGCGUUGUUCGGAUUCAUUGGGCGUAAAGGGCGCGUAGGCGGCAUGCCAAGCGUGUGGUGAAAGCCCGGGGCUCAACCCCGGGUCGGCCGUGCGGACUGGCGUGCUCGAGCACUGUAGGGGCGGGUGGAAUUCCGGGUGUAGCGGUGGAAUGCGUAGAGAUCUGGAGGAACACCUAUUGCGAAGGCAGCUCGCUGGGACGUAACUGACGCUGAGACGCGAAAGCGUGGGGAGCAAACAGG
rnacentral:rRNA from 1 species